rnacentral:rRNA from 1 species
CUCAGUACGGGACAGCCCAGCCGCGAGGCCGGGGUGAUCCUUCUGCAACACUUGCCGAAGCCUUAGCAGCCCGAAAGGGUGCAGCCCCGACGACUCUAAUCCACGAGGGCUGCCUAAAUGCUAGUCUGCGCCCAGCAGGCGACACUAUCAAAUUGCGGGGACACCCUAAAGACCUCAACACCAAGCGCCCGCGGGAAACCGCGGCGUGGCCGAGCUAACAGCCCUGGGUAUGGUAACAGCUUGAGGUAUGACGCCCCCCACCGGGGGCCGAAAUGGGCGAUCCGCAGCCAAGUCCUAAAGCGCCCUCGCCGGCGCCACGGAUGCUGUUCACAGGCCAAAUGGUAGUGGGUGGACCCCCCUCAGGGGGUUUGCUUAAGAUAUGGUCGGGCCCUCCCAGAGACGGGAGGGGUAAGUUUGCGCGAGCCGCCGGCUCUGUCCGCUGUAACCGUUCCGUAGGUGAACCUGCGGAAGGAUCAUUAUCGUGGGGCCCCGGCCCCGUCGAGAUAGAACCCUUGCCUUUUUCGAGCACCCAUCCGUUUCCUCGGCAGGCUCGCCUGCCAGCGGGGACCCAAACCAAACCCUUUUUCAUCCUGUACGCGUCUGAGAAACAAACAAAAGUUAAAACUUUCAACAACGGAUCUCUUGGUUCUGGCAUCGAUGAAGAACGCAGCAAAAUGCGAUAAGUAGUGUGAAUUGCAGAAUUCAGUGAACCAUCGAAUCUUUGAACGCACAUUGCGCCCCUUGGUAUUCCUUGGGGCAUGCCUGUUCGAGCGUCAUUUGACCCCUCAAGCCCAGCUUGGUGAUGGGCGUCUGUCCCCGCCCCCGCGCGAGGACUCGCCCCAAAAUCAUUGGCGGCCGGUACGUUGGCUUCGAGCGCAGCAGAAACGCACCUCGACCCCGGCGGACCGGCUCCCAGAAGCUUUACCAUCUUGACCUCGGAUCAGGUAGGGAUACCCGCUGGACUUAAGCAUACAAUAA